GUUUGCUUUUAAGAGAUACUGGUAGGAACUGCUCCUACUGCAGGGUGUCAUGAUCUCGUGAGGCCAAGGGAGCUGAAAAACCAAAGUGACAAUGAGUGCUGGAAUGACCAGAAAUCAGACAGUCUUUUCAGGGAAAAUGAUGACGCCCAUUGAUUACUACAUCCCAUCAAUUUUCAAUGAAGUGAUCAGUCUCCAACAGCAGGCAAUGAUGGAGUGGAAGAAGGGGACGAGUAAAAUGGCGAUUUCGCCUGAUCUUUCCGUUUUUGCAAGUUUUGCCGUUUAUACUCUCAUGUAUUUUCAAAAAUAAACUUCAU